CAUGUGGUUUAAUUCGAUGCAACGCGAAGAACCUUACCUACUCUUGACAUCCAGAGAAUCUAGCGGAGACGCUGGAGUGCCUUCGGGAGCUCUGAGACAGGUUCUGCAUGGCUGUCGUCAGCUCGUGUUGUGAAAUGUUGGGUUAAGUCCCGCAACGAGCGCAACCCUUAUCCUUGUUUGCCAGCACGUAAUGGUGGGAACUCCA
rnacentral:rRNA from 1 species